UUAAAAUAUUAUGCCGAAGACAGUAGGUGGUUCUAGAACCUUAAUUUCCUACCGAGGACAAUGAUUAAUACAAUCAAUAGUCCCUCUAUGUCAACGGUGGCAUGGAGUUUUUUUGUA
rnacentral:sRNA from 1 species